rnacentral:lncRNA from 1 species
CAGCCCUGAGAUGGAGUACGCCUUUAAUAAAAUAGAGACUGUCCUCAGCCAUGAAAGAAGUCCACGGUAUGGCGAAUAAAUUGCGAUAGCCAACUGCCUUACCCCCAGUAAAUGUAUAGUUUCCCUUGUAUUUGCUGACAUACUCCUCUGCUAGUGUUGUCCUCGCAGCAAAUUCAUAAUCGACUGUAAAUGAAACUGAACCCUUUUCCUGCAUUCCCAAAAAGAGACCAAAACAAUGGAAAGAGCUUUGCUGAUCCAUGUUGCAAUGUGCGGACAGGAAAAACCCUUGUCCACCCAAAUGAAAAGCUUGAGAAUAUACUCUCCCAGAUGGAAAAAGAUUAGCACAUUCUUCCCGCUUAAGAUCUAAGUAGACUAUACAUUGUUGGCGUGGAAGUUCAAACUCAACCACCUUAACAG